rnacentral:rRNA from 1 species
GUGGGGAGGACGUCAAAUCAUCAUGCCCCUUAUGACCUGGGCUACACACGUGCUACAAUGGGAAGUACAACGAGUUGCGAAGUCGCGAGGCUAAGCUAAUCUUUUAAAGCUUCUCUCAGUUCGGAUUGUAGGCUGCAACUCGCCUACAUGAAGCCGGAAUCGCUAGUAUUCGCGGAUCAGCACGCCGCGGUGAAUACGUUCCCGGGCCUUGUACACACCGCCCGUCACACCACGAGAGUUUGUAACACCUGAAGUCGGUGAGGUAACCUU